GUAGGGCGCAAGCGUUGUCCGGAAUUAUUGGGGCGUAAAAGAGCUCGUAGGCGGUUUGUCGCGUCUGCCGUGAAAGUCCGGGGACUCAACUCCGGAUCUGCGGUGGGUACGGGCAGAACUAGAGUGAUGUAGGGGAGAACUGGAAUUCCUGGGUGUAGGCGGUUGAAAAUGCGCAGGAAUAUCAGGAGGAACACCGAUGGCGAAGGCAGGUCUCUGGGCAUUAACUGACGCUGAGGAGCGAAAGCAUGGGGAGCGAAACAGG
rnacentral:rRNA from 1 species